GACGUAGGGCGCGAGCGUUGUCCGGAUUUAUUGGGCGUAAAGAGCUCGUAGGCGGCUUGUCGCGUCGUUCGUGAAAACCCACGGCUCAACUGUGGGCUUGCGGUCGAUACGGGCAGGCUGGAGUUCGGUAGGGGAGACUGGAAUUCCUGGUGUAGCGGUGAAAUGCGCAGAUAUCAGGAAGAACACCCGUGGCGAAGGCGGCUCUCUGGGACGGUACUGACGCUGAGACGCGAAAGCGUGGGGAGCGAACAGG
rnacentral:rRNA from 1 species